GAACAUCUUGGUGGGGUCUCGUUAAAAGAAUCUGAGUCUGAUGAUCCUUCGCAAGUCUCUGUCUCCAAGAGUGAAACCCCAGGGGAGCUAGAUGAUGAGAUUGAUGUUGUCAAUACUGAUUCUGCACAAAAUGGAAAGGGUAACGAUUUGCUUGAAGGCCAACGGCAGUACCAUUCCACUGUUCAUGCUAUUCAGGAGAAGGUAUAAAAAGAUGUUUCCAAGAGGCUAUUCUAUAUCUCUUCUUUUUUUAUAACCAACAGACAAGGUAGAUUGGAAAUAGUUUUGAUGGUAUUUAACUAUUGAGUUGUUGUAGAACUACCAUUUUAACUAACAAAGCAUAUGUGAAAUUCAGCUUUUUAAGUCAAUUUUUCUUGCUGCUGAAAAAUAUUUCUUUUCCUGCAAGGUAGAGUAUAAGAAUGCACAUAACAGAUGGAUGAUCUUAGUUUUAAUAGUUCCAGUUUGCGCACUUUUGUGGCACUAGCUGAGGGUUACAAUAGGGAACUUUUACUCCUGGUCGUUUUCCAGAAGGCAUUAUCUAUAUAGCAUUAUAUAGAAGGAAAACCUGCAACUAUGAGAAUCCUGUUUAUUCAGUCCAUUGGAUACUCCACUUAUCAUGGGUAUACUUUGUUAGUUUUUUUCAGUUUCCUUGUACGAAUAAUUUAUGCCAUACAUAUGUUGUUUUCCCCUACUUUUAUUUAAGUGAAAGCCCCUAGCCUUGAAUUGUGCGCAAACUUUCUUUGUAUGCGUUUGCUCUAUACCAUAUUGCUAAUAUUUGAACUUCAUUUAAAACACAGAAUUAUACAUUUCUCCCUCUUUUGUUCCCUUAAACUCUUAAUAAGCUUUGGUCACUCAAUUAUUAUUGAUUGUGAAAUUUGCAUCAGAUUCUACUGAUGAAAAGUAGAUUACUGUCCAGCUUUGGGUCACCUAUUAAAUGCCUUGCUAUUCCGCACGGACAUAUCAAAGAAAAGAACGAUUUCUUUUCUUUUAGUGGUUUUCUUUUUCCAUUAUUGGAAUAUUGUUGUGCUACGAAUUAUCUUCUAGAGAUCCUUUGUCACAAACUGAGCCGCUGGUUCGAAAUUUGAAGGAUCUUCUUUAAUCCUUUUAUACCUUUAGUUUAUUUGGCACUCAUUUUCCCUCCCCUAUCAUUUUCCCUAUCCUAUCAUACUGGCGUACAACCACUAUGAUCAUAACUUAAUCUACUGAAUAGACAGUUUAAUGCUUUUCUUUUUUUGUUUUUUUAACUAUUUUUGCAGGUGACAGAGCAGCCUACUAUGCUUCAGGGUGGAGAGUUAAGGCCUUACCAGUUAGAAGGACUUCAAUGGAUGCUUUCCCUGUUCAACAACAAUCUAAAUGGCAUUCUUGCUGAUGAAAUGGGUCUCGGAAAGACAAUUCAAACCAUAGCUUUGAUUGCUUACUUGAUGGAACACAAGGGUGUCACUGGACCGCACCUGAUAAUUGCUCCAAAAGCAGUAUUACCAAAUUGGUUUAGUGAAUUUUCAACUUGGGCACCAAGGUUUUUCUUUCAAUCUAUGAAGCAUAAUAUGUUUACUAUCUUUUCAUCUUUUAAAUAAGGAACGUCCUGAUUUGCUUUCAUUGUGCAGUAUUACUACACUAUUAUAUGAUGGGCGCCCAGAAGAGAGGAAGGGAAUAAGAGAAGAGUAUUUCGGAGAAGGGAAAUAUAAUGUUUUGCUCACACACUAUGAUCUGAUAAUGAAAGAUAAAAAGUUCCUGAAGAAAAUUCACUGGCAUUAUAUGAUUGUGGACGAAGGGCAUCGGCUUAAAAACCAUGAAUGUGCUCUUUCACGCACGAUAGUUACAGGGUAUGUUAUUGUUCGCUUAUUCAUUUUUUCUUGUGUAGAUAAACUUUGGUUAAAAAAUUCAGUUUUUCUUCUAUUUUUUGCUAAAUAUUUCUUACUUCUGUUUUCCUUUGACUUCUAUUUAAAACUCAAAACUCGAAAGUGGUAUAAAUUUAGAGUAGAAACCAUAUUAAUCUGCCUGCUUGAUGACAAAAACGAAGCUUUUGAUUAGAUAUAAGAAUGUAUGUAGUAAGGCACCAUACCCCUAUUUUAUGAAUAUAAGACGUAAUUUGUCAGUUUAUGUUUAGAAUAUGGUGCCCUCCACUGUCUUUUAGCAACUAAAAUUUUGCUUGACCGUUGGUAGCUAUUUGACACUUCAAACUAUUUAAUUGUGCUAAUCCUCUUCGAAACGUCACUACUAGCCUUGUUUUUGUGUGUUCUUUCAGCUUGCAUGCAGCAUCUGUUUUGGCAUUUCCUUUUAUUUAUUUUUUUCUUUUUAACCUAUGAAUAUCUGUUCAUAUAAUCUUAAUCCAUUCUUUUAAUUGAAUGGCUUGUAAGAACUCUCUCCAUUAUCGUUCUCAAUAGUUUGGCUCCUAGUUUGGUUAAUCUUGUUUUAAUCAUUGUUGAUAAUAUUCAAUUAUUUAAUAAAUGUGUUUUAUUUUUUAUAUUUUCUAAAUAUUAAAUCGUAAUUUUGUUUUCUUGCAGCUAUCGUAUUCGUCGUAGACUUCUGUUGACCGGCACCCCAAUACAGAAUAGCUUGCAGGAGCUUUGGUCAUUGCUCAAUUUUCUUCUUCCCCACAUCUUCAAUUCCGUACAAAAUUUUGAGGAAUGGUUUAAUGCACCAUUUGCAUGCGAUGUAUCUCUCAAUGAUGAGGAAGAGCUACUGAUUAUUCGCCGUUUGCAUCAAGUGAGAUUACUAAUACUUUCUUCUUUUUUUAACUUUUUCUUUUGGGUGCUUUUGCAAGCCUCUCUUUGUGUCCUUUUUGUGAUAAUUACAAUCUGUUUAACUCAGGUUAUACGGCCCUUUCUUCUGAGAAGGAAAAAGGAUGAAGUUGAAAAGUAUCUUCCUGGGAAAACACAAGUAAUACUUAAAUGCGACAUGUCUGCUUGGCAAAAAGCAUAUUACCAGCAGGUCACUGACUUGGGGAGGGUUGGACUAGAAUCUGGUAAGUUAGACCUGCUUAACUAUUCUGCCCGAUUUGGAUGACUUUCUCAAAGAUUAAGUUCAGUUUGUACAUUAUGCUGGCAUUUAUUUUGAAUUUGUUUGUAGUCUAAAUAUUCAGUGGCAUGUUUACUUAUCGUAACACAUGUACUCUUGUAAAUUAUCUAUUUGCACUGUAUCUCCAUGAAAUCUGAAUUUUCACACAUAGUUUGUUAUAUAUACCUCUUUUACUUACAAAAAUGCCCCUCUUAAAAAGAUCUUUUGGAUGUGAAUGUAUAAUUCCCCAACUUACGGGUUGUUUUGUAAGAAACUGCACUUUGGGGGGCUAUUUAUGAAAAUUCAGAUUCUUCAGGGGUUUGUAAUUUACCUAGAAGUUUUUGCUGCUAUAUAUAUAUAUAUAUAUAUGCAAAAAUCUCAUAUUCGUUUCAUGCUGAGGGCCACAUUUGACUCUUCGCAGGCAUAAAAUCAAAAUCUCUCCAGAAUUUGUCAAUGCAGCUCAGGAAGUGUUGCAAUCAUCCCUACCUAUUUGUAGGAGAAUAUAACAUGUGGCAGAAGGAACAAAUUGUUAGAGCUUCAGGGAAGUUCGAAUUGUUGGAUCGUUUACUUCCAAAGCUCCAAAGAACCGGUCACAGAAUUCUACUUUUCUCCCAAAUGACACGUCUUAUUGAUAUCUUAGAAAUCUACUUACAACUAUAUGAUUUUAAGUACCUUCGACUUGAUGGGUCGACGAAGACCGAAGAGCGAGGGGCAUUGCUUAGACAGUUCAAUGCGCCAGACUCUCCCUAUUUUAUGUUUCUAUUGAGCACACGAGCUGGUGGUCUCGGAUUGAACUUGCAGACUGCAGAUACUGUUAUUAUCUUUGAUAGUGACUGGAACCCUCAAAUGGACCAACAGGCGGAAGAUCGAGCCCAUCGAAUUGGGCAGAAGAAGGAAGUUAGGGUUUUCGUGUUGGUUAGUGUUGGCUCGAUCGAAGAGGAGAUAUUGGAUCGUGCGAAACAGAAGAUGGGUAUUGAUGCAAAGGUCAUCCAGGCUGGGCUGUUUAACACUACCUCCACAGGUUGGUGUUCUUAUUAAGGCAGACUGAAUUGCAUCUACAGGCUUUUUCAUUAUUUAUAUUGUUGAUCGGUUUCAAAUUCUCGGUGUAGAGAAACAAAGAAGUUGAGAAAAGCAAAUAAAAUCCAUAUUUUUAGAGUUUGCAAACAAUCUGCCAACACUUCCAAAAGGAAAAGAGCAAAUUCGCAAAAUUUUAACCUUGAAUUAUCUUAAUUAAUGAAAAGGGGAGAAAUAAAUUAUAUAAAUCAGUGAUCUGAAGUGUUCGUUCUUGUUUCUCUUUGCAGCACAGGACAGGCGAGAGCUGUUGCAAGAGAUCAUGCGGAGAGGAACGAGCGCUCUGGGAGCUGACGUCCCGAGCGAACGUGAGAUUAAUCGUCUGGCGGCACGUAAUGAAGAGGAGUUCUGGCUGUUUGAGAAGAUGGAUGAAGAGAGGCGGCAGAGGGAAAGAUACAGAUCGAGGCUAAUGGAGGAAAACGAAGUGCCCGAAUGGGUAUUCCCAAAAAACACCGAAAAUAAAGCAAAAGAAACCCUAAGCCCAGAUGCCCAAAGCAAUCAAAUUAGCGGAAGGAGGCAGCGUAAGGAGGUGGUAUAUGCUGAUUUAUUGAGUGAUAUCCAGUGGAUGAAGGCUGUGGAGGAAGGGGAGGACUUGUCGAAGCUGGCUGCUAAGGUGAAGAGGAAAGAGCACCCUUCCGACGCGCAUGAAUCUGUCGCUAGCGAGGAGAACAGUGAAAACAUAUCGAGUAAAACUUUGAAAAAGUUACAAGGUGGAGUCGCCGAGAAAGACGACAGUGAAGGCGAAGUAGUAGGCGAGGUUGUUAAUAGUAGCUGGCAAAACAAUAUCGUGACGUGGAAGACUCACAAGAGAAAGCGCUCAAGCCACGGCUACUCCAGUUCAUCGUCGGACGUAAAAGGACGGCAGGGUCUAUAAAGAUAGCCCGAUCUCGCAUUGAAUUUUUUAAGUUAAAGAAAGUCUACUGAAAACUCCUUUUUCUGUAUUGUUUGUUCAUUAUUUUUUCGCUCUGCUCUUACCUGCUUCCUUCUGGAAAGACCAUGUUGUAUUCCUCUUAAAGUGAUAGCUUAUGAGAUGUAAAACCAAUAAUUCUUAGAAAUAUUAGGAAGGUAGGAAAUUAUUAGCAGUUUCACAGCUGGGGUUCAUGCAAGAAGAUUAUGUAGCCUUUAUUUAAUUUUCAGUGUCAUAAAAUUAACAGCUUUAGCUGCUGAUGGAUUGCUUAAUGCUUUUGAUUAUUGCAUAUUUAGUGAUUAAGUUAGAAGAGAGUGAUGAUGGAAGAGGAGCAAAGGGUGCCUGUGAGAAAAGGUUUUGAGUAGUUUAUUUUGCAAUAGACAAAUCCAAAAUUCAAAAUUGAAUUGGGUUAUAAAUAGAUUUGGUCAUUCUCAUUUUCAGAGUGGAAUGAAAAUUGCAAUCUAAUUUUUAUAAAAUAAACCAUAAUUAUCAGAAUCAAUAAAUCUUAUUCUGAUUUCGAAGUUCAAAACAGGUGAACCAAACAAGUCCUACCUGUUUGGAGAGUGAAAUAUGUUUCUGGCGUUACUGAAAAUGAUUCUUGAGCUUAAUGUGGAGUUAAACUAGCUCUCUUAGUUUCAAUUUGUUUCAAUGUAAAAUGUGCUAGGAACAUUUGUGGCGCGAAAGUGAUAACUUGUUAUUAGUUUUAUCAACUUUUUUUGUCCAAGAAAAUGACAUAGCAUUCGCCCUUCAUGCUUUAUUUCAAGCUAAUCACCAAUAACCAAAAUAGAAAAGUCUAUCCGCCGAAUCAUUUAUUACAUCUAAUUUGAGUUUGAAAUGUAAAAAAUUUGGGAGUGGUUCCUAUCAAGGACUAGAAUCAGUCGUUUGCAUACUUGCACCAUGGAAUGAGAAGUAUUUUAGUUUUUUUUAUUUUUUUCAAAUUUACAUUUCUAUUAUUAUUUUAUUCAUGAAGUAUUUUUUAAAAAAGUUCAUAGACAUAUUAUUAAAAAUCUUUAUGGUAACAAUUAUAUCACAUAGAAUAUAUUCCAAAUAAAUUUCAUCGUGGCAUGUAAGAUACUAUUUAUAAUGUUUUAUAAAUUUUUUUGUUGUUGAAAUGUGAAACUUUUUGAUUGAACGGUAUAACUUCAAUUUUAGUGGGCGGUGUAUGAAAUGUGGGAAGAUGCCCGGUGCAUCGACCAAUUCGUUCUCCGAGUACAGCUGAACCAAUAAUCUCGCUCCACGUUGGCGAUCCGCUACAGCCCAUUCCGACCAAUCAGAGCGAAGCACCCUUUCAAACUCCUCCCCUCAUCACCUCCCUAUAAAUACUUCCGAUCAUCUCGUUCCCAAAAACAAAGCCUCUACCCCGCUCUCUCUCUCGUGUUAGGGUUUCCAAUCCAUUACCCCCUCCACCUCUCCUCUUCCUCUCUAGGGUUGGGGUAUCGAUCCACUCCCUUCUCCUCCUCCACUCUAGGGUUAGGGUUUCGAUCCAAACUACGACCCCGACGACGAUGAGCUCCUCGGGAUCGACCAAGGGCGGGCGCGGCAAGGCCAAGGCGACGAAAUCGGUCUCACGGUCGCAGAAGGCAGGUCUCCAGUUCCCCGUCGGCCGCAUCGCCCGCUUCCUCAAGGCCGGGAAGUACGCCGACCGCGUCGGCGCCGGCGCUCCCGUAUACCUCUCUGCAGUCCUCGAGUACCUCGCCGCCGAGGUCGGUGAUCGAUUCUUGCCUUGCCCUAGAAAUCACUGUAGAUGCAUCUUAUGUGCUGUGAAAGGAUCCGCAUUUCUAAAAUUCGGGAAAAAAAGGGAUAAUUUUUGGGACAAUUAGGGUGUCAGAUCUUGGAUAGUUCUUUAGCUGAAUCCUUUGGAGGAUUCGAAAUCAGUAUUUGGAUUUUUAUCUGCUUUCUUUUGAAUCAAUCAAUUGUUUAGGAAUAUCUGAUGCUUAGGUAAUAGGUUUUUCAUAUUGUUUGGAUAUGUGAGAGGCAGGCAACAAAUUUCUUGUCUUGUUCGUAGUGUUAGCUUUUAUGUUCUUGCUGUGUUCUUGCUUUGGUUCAAUCUGAUUUGAUGUGGAUUUCAUUUCAGGUUCUUGAGUUAGCUGGCAAUGCUGCAAGGGAUAACAAGAAGAAUAGGAUUGUGCCACGGCAUAUACAGCUUGCUGUGAGGAAUGAUGAGGAACUGAGUAAGCUUUUGGGGAUGGUGACAAUUGCGAAUGGUGGGGUUUUGCCCAACAUUCAUCAGACUUUGUUGCCCAAGAAGGCGGGGAAGGAUAAGGGGGAACUUGGAUCGGCAUCACAGGAGUUUUAGAUUUGUUUUAGCUAUAAAUAAUUUGAGGUCGGAUGGAAAGGUUUUGUUGUUGGUGUGGUUUCCUUUUUCUGGGUUAUGGUUUGUAAUGUAAGGAGUGGGUUAGGAAUAUAGUGCUUUUUGAUCUUAAUUAACUACAGUUUUUAAUGUCUUGAAAGCUAAAACUACUGGUGUGAAAGGAUGUGCAUCUUAGAUGUGUAUUUUUCAUUUUUAUUGCAUUGUUGGUGUAUAUUUUCCUUAUCUGCUUGCCUUUCUCAUUAAGUGAUUUGACUGAGUUUUUGGAAUCAGUUGGGACAUGGGAAGUUUGGACCUUGAAUUCAAUUUCAUCUUUUAAGAUCAACCUUGUUGUGUUUUAAGUUUUAACCUUUAGUUAGUGGAAAUAUACUUUUAACAUCAAGCCUUCAUUUUUCUUCUCCUAUGCCCUCUUUACAUGUGAUUCAAAUUGAGGGCAAAGUGAGAAAUGUUGGUGUGUCAAUAAUAAACAUCCUAAGGCUGAUAAAUAGCUACAAUGUACUAUAGUUGAAUAGCAUUCAUUAUGUUAUUAAACUUAUUUAUGUGAUAGGCCUAGUAGCGCGGCAACUGUAUUCAUUACAAGCAUCAUAAAAUGUAAUUAAGCUUCUGCCGGUCCUUUUCUGAGUGUGUUUUAUUUUCAGAACUUUGUGGUAGUAGGAUUUUGAUGUACAUCAGUGUGCAGCUGAUCUGUAUGCUAGUUGGCACAUAAGUGUGAUUGCUUGCUGACAUGCCUCAUUCCACUAUGGUCUAUCCUUGAUUGGGAUUUGUGAUCCAAUUGAUUCAUAAGCUAUUUAAUUUUGCUUGUGGUCUUGGAAGAAUUGAAACAUUUCUUGGCUUUGUUUUUUGUUAAGGAGAGACUAUGAGAAUUUAUCAGUGUUCUUGCACCAUAUGUAGUGGCGGGCUUGCAUUAGAUCAGCUUAAGUGGUUGGUGUUGGAAAUUGUUUUUCUGAAACCUUAUGAUCAAAUGCUUGCUAUUAGAAGAUGUUUCUUUUUUUUUUUGUUUUAAAUUAAUGUUAAAGAACCUCAGUAUUGUUUGGUAGCAUCUUUAGAUGCAAACAAUUUUCUUACCCUACUUUUUGCUUAUUUUAGAUCUCUAAUCUAACAACAAUGUUAUGUCCAUUACAGACUGACACUGGAAAAGUAUCUGCCAAGGUGAGAAUUAUCAGUUAAAUGUUCUUCAUGUUCAGUUAUAAUGUUUAAUUUAUCUUAUACCUGUAACGCGCGUUUAAGCAGAUGCUGAAUAGGUUCUCAUGUAUAGCACUGGCUGGUGUAGCAACAUUGUAUCUUUUGUAUUGGUGCUCUGAAGGAGGGCUCGCUGAACGUUAGUAAGGUAAGCUGAAAUUAUCAAACAUUAAACACGCCUUAAAUUGAUUCUUGCAUUUUUGAUAUUUACAUUUGUCUAGUAUUUUAUAGAUGUCCUCAAAAAAGCUUAUCUUAUUACAGAAACACACUAUUAAAAGACUGUUUGUUGAGAAAUGUGUACUCAACUGCUCUCGGCAUUUAAGAUACUCUCCCUUUAAGACAAGUGUGGUUAUUAUUACGAAAAACUGCAGCUUUCAACGAUGUCUACACCAUCUUUUGAUUUGAGAGGCAAAUGUUGAGUAUAAAAGGUUGGUUCUUUUACAAAAUUAAGAUCCUGUAACUUGCUUUGUUUUGAAAUGUGUGUACAGUUGGAUGGGUUGCUGAAGAGCUUAGGGUUUACACAGAAAAAGAGCUGAUUCACAGGUUAGAUGGGCUGGGCUGAACACCAUUCUAUUACUGCGUCAACAUGAAAGCGCUAGAUUGCAGCUAGUGGAGGCAAUGUCUUCAAUUCCGUACAAAAUUUUGAGGAACGGUUUAAUGCACCAUUUGCAUGCGAUGUAUCUCUCAAUGAUGAGGAAUAGCUACUGAUUAUUCGUCGUUUCCAUCAAGUGAGAUUACUAAUUCUUUCUUUUUUUUUACUUUUUUUUUUGGGUGCUUUUGCAAGCCUUUCUUUGUGUCCUUUUUGUGAUAAUUGCAAUCUGUUUAACUCAGGUUAUACGUCCCUUUCUUCUGAGAAGGAAAAAGGAUGAAGUUGAAAAGUAUCUUCCUGGGAAAACACAAGUAAUACUUAAAUGCGACAUGUCUGCUUGGCAAAAAGCAUAUUACCAGCAGGUCACUGACUUGGGGAGGGUCGGACUAGAAUCUGGUAAGUUAGACCUGCUUAACUAUUCUGCCCCAUUUGGAUGACUUUCUCAAAUACUAAAGUUUGGUUUGUACAUUAUGUUGGCAUUUAUUUUGAAUUUGUUUGUAGUCUAAAUAUUCUUUGGCAUGUUUACUUAUCGAAACACGUACUCUUGUAAAUUAUCUAUUUGCACCGUAUGUACUCUUGUAAAUUAUCUAUUUGCACUGUAUCUUCGUGAAAUCUGAAUUUCACACAUAAUUUGUUAUAUAUAGCUCUUUACUUACAAAAAUGCCCCUCUUAAAAAGAUCUUUUGGAUGUGAAUGUAUAAUUCCCCAACUUACGGUUCUUUUGAAAGAAACUGCACUUUGGAGGGUUAUUUAUGAAAAUUCAGAUUCUUCAGGGGUUUGUAAUUUAACUAGAAGGUUUUGCUGCUAUAUAUAUGCAAAAGCCUAAUAUUCGUUUCAUGCAGAGGGCCACAUUCGACUCUUCGCAGGCAUAAAAUCAAAAUCUCUCCUGAAUUUGUCAAUGCAGCUCAGGAAGUGCUGCAAUCAUCCCUACCUAUUCGUAGGAGAAUAUAACAUGUGGCAGAAGGAACAAAUUGUUAGAGCUUCAGGGAAGUUCGAAUCGUUGGAUCGUUUACUUUCAAAGCUUCAAAGAACCAGUCACAGAGUUCUACUUUUCUCCCAAAUGACACAUCUAAUUAAUAUCUUAGAAAUCUACUUGCAACUUUACAAUUUUAAGUACCUUCGAAUUGAUGGGUCGAUGAAGACCAAAGAGCGAGGGGCAUUGCUUAGACAGUUCAAUGCGCCAGAUUCUCCCUAUUUUUAGGUUUCUAUUGAGCACACGACCUGGUGGUCUCGGAGUGAACUUACAGGCUGCAGAUACUGUAAUUAUCUUUGAUAGUGACCGGAACCCUCAAAUGGACCAACAGGUGGAAGAUCAAGCCCAUCGAAUUGGGCAGAAGGAAGUUUGGGUUUUUGUGUUGGUUAGUGUUGGCUCGAUCGAAGAGGAGAUAUUGGAUCGUGCAAAACAGAAGAUGGGUAUUGAUGCAAAGGUCAUCCGGGCAACACUACCUCCACAGGUUGGUGUUCUUAUUAAGGCAGAUUGCGUUGCAUCUACAUGCUUUUCAAUUAUUUAUAUUGUUGAUCAGUUUCAAACUCGGUGUAGAGACACGGAAGUUGGAAAAAGCAAACAAAAUCCAUAUUUGUAGAGUUUGCAAACAAUCUGCCAACACUUCCAAAGGGAACAGAGCAAAUUCUCAAAAUUUUAACCUGGAAUUAUCUUAAGGAAAAGGGGAGAAAUAAAUUAUAUCAAUCAGUGAUCUAAAGUGUUCGUUCUUGUUUCUCUUUGCAGCACAGGUGAGAGCUGUUGCAAGAGAUCAUGCGGAGAGGAACGAGCACUCUGGGAGCUGACAUCCCUGAGCGAACGUGAGAUUAGUCGUCUGACGGCACGUAAUGAAGAGGAGUUCUGUCUAUUUGAGAAGAUGGAUGAAGAGAGGCGGCACAGGGAAAGAUACAGAUCGAGGCUAAUGGAGGAAAACGAAGUGCUCGAAUGGGUAUUCCCCAAAAACACCAGAAGUAAAGCAAAGGGAACCCUAAUCUCGGACACCCAUAACAAUCAAGUUAGCAGAAAGAGGCAGCGUAAGGAGGUGGUAUGUGCUGAUUUAUUGAGUGAUAUCCCGUGGAUGAAGGCUGUGGAUGAAGGGGAGGACUUGUCGAAGCUGACCGCUAGGGUGAAGAGGAAAGAGCGCCCUUCCAACGUGCAUGAAUCUGUCGCUUUCAAGGAGAACAGUGAAAACAUAUCGAGUUAAACUUUGAAAAAGUUACAAGUUGGAGCGGCCAAGAAAGAUGACGGUGAAGGUGUAGUAGGCGAGGUUGUUUAUAGUAGGUGGCAAAACAAUAUUGUCACGCGGAAGACUCGCAAGAGAAAAUGCUCUAGCCACGGCUACUCCAGUUCAUCAUCGGAUGUGAAAGGACGGCAGGGUCUAGAAAGAUAGCCUGAGAUCCGUCGCAUUGAAUUUUAUAAGUUAAAAAGAGACUAUUGAAAACUGUCUUUUUCUGUAUUGUUUGUUCAUUAUUUUUUCUUGUAUUCCUCCUAAAGUGAUAGCUUAUGGGAUUUAAAACUAAUAAUUCUUAGAAAUAUUACGAAGGUAGGCAAUUAUAAGCAGUUUCACAGCUGGGGUUCGUGCAAAAAGAUUAUGUAGCCUUUAUUUAAUUUUCAGUCUCGUAAAAUUUACAGCUUUAGCUGCUGAUGGAUUGCUUAAUGUUUUUGAUGAUUGCAUAUUUAGUGGUACUGUUAAGAAGAUUCUAGGAGCAUAUUUGGUUCAUCAUUUAUGAUUAGAAUAGAAAUAGGAAAUGAAAAUCAAUUGUAUUAGAAUAAAAAAUAAAAUGAGAAAUUACUUAAAAUUAAUUGGCUCAUUACUGAAAUAGAAAUUAGAAUUGAUAUUUAUAAUUUUGAGAGAGAAUUUUGAUUAAGACGGAGAAAAGUGAUGAUGAAAGAGAAGUUCAUCGUGUCUGUGAGAAAAGACUUUUUAAGUAGUUUAUUUUGGAACAGACAGUGAAAUUCAGAAUUGGAUUGGAAUAUAAAUAGAUUUGAUCAUUUUUAUUUAAGGAUGGAAUGAAAGUUAAAAUUCGAUUUUUAUAAAACAAAUGAUGAUUAUCGAAAUUAAUAAAUUUUAUUUAUAUUUCGAAGUUUAAAAUAGGUGAACCAAUUAGGCCGUCAUUGUUUUGGAAGUGAAAACUGUACGUGGAGUUACUGAAAAUGAUUUUUGAGCUUAAUGUGUAAUUAAAUUGGCUCUCUUAGUUUCAGUUUGUUCCAAUCUUAAAUGUCCGAGGGAAAUUUGUAGCGCGAAAGUGAAAAACUUAUUAUUACUUUUAUCAACAUUUUUGUUCUAAGAAGAUGGCAUCGUAUACAGUCCUGCUGUAACAGCUGGAUGAAUCAGCUCCCUCCACGCUGGCGAUCUUCCACAAACCAUUCCGACCAAUCAGAGGGAAGCACCCUUUCAAACUCCUCCCCUCAUCACCUCCCUAUAAAUACUUCCGAUCAUCUCGUUCCCACAAACAAAGCCUCUCUCUCUCUCUCUCUCCCUCUCUCUCUCUCUCUACCUCUCCCUCUCUCGAGUCUCGUGUUAGGGUUUCCAUCCAUUCCCCUUGAUCUCCUCCGCACUAGGGUAAGGGUUUCGACUUUCGAGAGAAUCACCUGUCCUCUUUCUCUUUAGGGUUAGGGUUUCGAUCCAUUCCGUUCUCCUUCUCCACUCUAGGGUUAGGGUUUCGAUCCAAACUGCGACACCGACGACGAUGAGCUCCUCGGGAUCGACCAAGGGAGGGCGCGGCAAGGCUAAGGCGACGAAAUCGGUCUCCCGGUCGCAGAAGGCCGGUCUCCAGUUCCCCGUCGGCCGCAUCGCCCGCUUCCUCAAGGCCGGGAAGUACGCCGACCGCGUCGGCGCCGGCGCUCCCGUAUACCUCUCUGCAGUCCUCGAGUACCUCGCCGCCGAGGUCGGUGAUCGAUUCUUGCCUUGCCCUAGAUAUCACUGUAGAUGCAUCUUAUGUGCUGUGAAAGGAUCCACAUUUCUAAAAUUCGGAAAAAGAAAUUAGGAUAAUUUUUUGGGGACAAUUAGGGUAUCAGAUCUUGGAUAGUUCUUUAGCUGAAUCGUUUAGUGGCUUUGAAAUCAGUAUUUGGUGUAUUAACUGCGUUCUUUUGAAUCAAACAAUUGUUUAGGAAUAUCCGAUGCUUAGGUAAUUGGUUUUUCAUAUAGUUCUUUAGAUGUUUUUGAUAUAUUUGUUUGAUCAGAUUUUGGAUUAAAGCAUUGGUGAUCAUUAAAUUUGUCUGAGUGUGAUGUAUGAUUUGUUUGCAUAUGUGAGAGGCAGGCAACAAUUUUCUUGUCUUGUUCGUAGUGUUAGCUUUUAUGUUCUUGCUGUGUUCUUGCUUUGGUUCAGUCUGAUUUGAUGUGGAUUUCAUUUCAGGUUCUUGAGUUGGCUGGCAAUGCUGCGAGGGAUAACAAGAAGAAUAGGAUUGUGCCACGGCAUAUACAACUUGCGGUGAGGAAUGAUGAGGAACUGAGUAAGCUUUUGGGAAUGGUGACAAUUGCAAAUGGUGGGGUUUUACCCAACAUUCAUCAGACUUUGUUGCCCAAGAAGGCGGGGAAGGAUAAGGGGGAACUUGGAUCAGCGUCACAGGAGUUUUAGAUUUGUGUUAGCUAUAAAUAAUUUGAGUAAGGAUGGAAAGGUUUUGUUGUUGGUGUGGUUUCUUUUUUCUGGGUUAUGAUUUGUAAUGUAUGGAGUAGGUUAGGAAUAUAGUGCUUUUUGAUCUUAAUUAACUGCAGUUUUUAAUGUCAUAAAAGCUAAAACUACUGGGGUGAAAUGAUGUGCAUCUUUGAUGUGUAUUUGUCUUUUUUAUUGCACUGUUGGUUAUAUUUUCCUUAUCUGCUUGUGUUUCUCAUUAAGUUGACUUGACUGAGUUUUUGGAAUCAGUUGGGACAUGGGAAGUUUGGACCUUGAAUUCAAUUUCUUCUUUUAUGAUUUACUUUGUUGUGUUUUAAGUUUUAACCUUUAGUUAGCAGAAAUGUACUUUUAAUAUUAACCCUUUACUUUUCUUCUCCCAUAUCCUCUUUACAUGUGUGAUUCAAAUGGAGGGCAAAGUGAGAAAUGUCACUUUCAGGGCAACUGUGACCUCUAGUUUAUUUGGUGGAUAUGUGGCUGGACCACAUUGAUUUUUAACUUUUUGAGGGGCAACUGAUAAGAAAGGGCUUCCUUUUUGAACAAGCUGCUGUCUUUGCUCUGUUUUUGGGGAAAGGAGGAUGAAUUUGGUGUUAUGUUGUGGUGGCUAUUUGCCUAAUAUAAAGAUGAGAGUGCCUAUUUGUAGAGCUCUGAAGCCCUCUGAUUCAGCUUUGAGUUCUCUUCGUGAGACAGGUGGAUCAAGGUUGCAGGUGCUGGAGCAAGUUGACGAGGAGCUGAGGAGGGGAGAUGAUAGGGCUGCUCUUUCUCUGGUGAAGGGCCUGCAAGGGAAGCCUGAGGGUCUUAGGUGCUUUGGAGCAGCAAGGCAGGUUGUUGUUUCUCGCCAUGUUCAUGAACAACUGUUCUCUUGAAUAUUCAUUCUCUGGUUUAAUUUAAGAGUAAAAAGGGUAACUCCUUGGUUUCCUUUUAUGUGGCCUUUAAGGUACUGUUGAUGUGUUGGCAUUAUCUUGGGCAUUAUUCUUGGAUGCGUGCUUAAACCAAUAAGUGUUUGUUAUGUGUGAUUGCCAACACAUUAGCUGUAUACAUGUAGCAGGCUAGCAGCACUGUCAUAUAGAAAGUUCAAGAGUAAUGGUUGUUCUGCUUCACAAUUGUUAGAUGGACAUAUUCGUUGGGUUGCUCGUGUUCAUGCUGUGUAAAUGCUGAUUUUAAAACUGAUGAGAGGACUGUACCUUCUUUUCUUUCUAAUUAAAAAGCUUUCUUUUGUGUAUGCCUUCCAAAGUUCAUUUUUGAAACUUUAGCAUGCAGAGCUUGCUGUAAUAUGUUAUGUGGCAUGUCUUGCUUCAGCCGACUAUAGGCAUGCUGUUGUGCCAUGGGAAGGCAAGCCUUGGUUGCACCUAUGAAACAUGAUGUAAUGAUUUGGUUUGUAAUUUGUAUUUUAUUUAUUUUAUUGACAUCUUUUAUAACUUUGCUUAUUGGUAGAUUUUCUAUUGUCUUUUUGUUUUUUUUUCCUGAAAUUUGCUGUUGGUAACUAUGUCGGCAUGGUUAAAUUUGUGUUUUAGGUGCCCCAAAGACUUUACAGCUUAGAUGAGCUGAAGUUGAAUGGAAUCGAUACAUCCUCUUUUCUAUCACCUGUUGAUUUCACUCUGGGUUCAAUCGAGAGAAAUCUUCAGUUUGCCGCACUUCUAGGAGGCUUUUCAGCAUGGGUUGCAUUUGGUUUUUCGCCAGCACAGAUUCUGUACAUUUCAUUAGGUCUACUGUUUCUGUGGUCUGUAGACUUGGUAAGUUAUUGAUUUCUUCAUAUUAAAGCUGCAGUAUUCUUGGUUUUUGCAUAGUAAAGAAAAUGGCAUUUGGUUUUAGUACUUUGCUAUGUUUGUGUUUUUCAUAAUCAUUUUGGUGCUGUUUUCUUUUCUACGCAUUUCUAAUUUCUUGUUUAGUAAAUUCAGUAGCUCUCAACUGGUUUUUUUUAUUUUUAUUUGUUAAGCUGUCAUAUGAUUAUACAUUUUUUAGGUCUCUUUUAAUGGAGGUCUGAGGAAUUUGUUGCUUGAUACCAUUGGUCAUUCAUUCAGUCAAAAGUAUCACAACAGAGUUGUUCAGGUAAGCUUCAAUAUCUAUCAAUAUCGUGAAUUAUUCAUUUUCAAGUGUCUGAAAGUGGCCCGUACUACGAGAUAGUAAAUUUGCAUUUUCCUUUAUAUUUGUGUUGACCCGAGAGACCCUCUUUUUUGAACAUUAAAUAUAUAUAUUCUGCAUAAAAUUAGCUUUUAAUAUUCACUCAAGCAUCUGUGUCUUCUAAACUAGAAUGUGCUCUUAAGGCUUUGAACUCAAGACCUUAAAAUUCUGUUCGUUGUGUGUGUAUCAUUAUUGACUUGAGCUCUCUAAUAGAUCAAUUUAUUAGCUUCCUUAAACAGAUGAAAAUGUACAGCUGCAUUUUAUGGUGUUGAUUGUGUAACGGCAUACUAUACUUUCUCAGGAACUAAUGUCCUGAGGAUGGAUAUUGUGCAGCAUGAAGCUGGUCACUUCUUAAUAGCAUACUUGCUUGGUGUACUCCCAAAGGGAUAUACAUUGACUAGCUGGGAAGCUUUGAUUAAGGAAGGAUCACUUAAUGUGCAAGCAGGGACUACUUUUGUGGAUUUCGAGUUCCUUGAGGAAGUAAGUUCUAUAUAUCGUGUCAAUCUUCUUAUUGUUUGUUUCCUUGCUUACUGUGAUAUGUUGUACUAUUUGUUUCAUGAAUAAUGACGCAUUUAAAGUCUCUUGAUGCCUUGAUUGCCUUUUUUGUUCUCUUUCUCAACUUCUAUGAUAUAUACUUCUUUUGUUAGAAAUUACUUGAUAUAUUUAAAUGUGGGAACCAAAAAUGUUGGCGUGUCAAGUAUAAACAUCCUAAGGCUUGUUAUGUUGAUAAAUAGCUACAAUAUACUAUAGUUGAAUAGCAUUCAUUAUGUUAUUUAACUUGUUUAUACGUGAUAGGCCUAGUAGCACGAUAAUUUUAUUCAUUACAAGCAUUGUAAGAUGUAAUUAAGCUUCUGCUGGUCCUUUUCUGAGUGUGCAGCUAUUUUCAGUAUUUUCUGAUAGUAGGAUUUUGAUAUGCAUCAGUGUGCAGCUGACCUAUGUGCUAGUUGGCACAUAAGUGUAAUUGCUUGCUAACAUGCCUCGUUCGACGGUGGUCUAUCCUUGAUUUUGAUUUGUGAUCCAAUUUGUUCAUAAGCUAUUUAAUUUUGCUCGUGGUCUUGGAAUAAUUGAAACAACUCUUGGCUUCCUUUUUGUGAAGGAGAGGCCUCGUAAUCUCUAUGAGAAUUUAUCAAUGUUCUUGCACCAUAUAUAGUGGUGGGCUUGCAUGAGAUUGGCUUAUGUGCUUACUGUCAGAAAUUGUUCCUGAAACCUUAUGAUCAAAUGCUUGCUAUUAGAAGACAUCUCCUUUUUCUUCUUUUUUUAAAAUAACAUUAAAUAGGGAUGUCAAUGGAUACGGAUACUCGAAAUUUUAUCCGAGCCUGAAUUCGAACAUAACGGAUUUAUCCAAUGCUGAAUGGAUAUGGUUUUGGAUAUGAAUAUCAAAAACAAAAAUUUGAUGGAUAUGAAUUUUGUUAUGGAUUUUGACCGUACCCGAUCCAAACCUGAACCUGAUCCGAACCCGACUCGAAUCUGAAUUUAUUUUACAUUAUAUAUAAUAUGUAUAUAAAAAUUUGAUGUUAUAUUUGAAUUUGUAUUUUAAAAAUUUAGAUUUAAUAUAAUAUAUUUUGAAAUAUUGAAAAGAGAUAAUUGUUUCGGGUUCGAAUUUUUGGGUUCAGGUUUGGAUUUGGGUUUCCGAUUUUUGGCCGUGUUCGGGUUUGGAUAUGGAUUUAUAAAAUUUGUCGUGUUCGAGUUUGGGUUUCAUGUUUGGAGUCGGGUUCGGGUUUGGGUUUUGAAAAUCCACUCCAAAUUUGACCCCUUUACAUCCCUAAUGUUAAAAAACCUUUAUGUUGUUGGGUAGCAUCUUUGGAUGCAAACAAUAAUCUUAUCCUACCUUUUACUUAUUUUAGAUCUCUAAUCUAACAACAGUGUUAUGUCCAUUGCAGAUUGACACCGGAAAAGUAUCUGCGAAGGUGAGAAUUAUCAGUUAAAAUGUUCUUCAUGUACAGUUUUGCAGGUCAUUAUAAAGUUCUUUAUUAUGUUUUAUAUAUCUUAUCCCUGUGAUGCAUGUUUAAGCAGAUGCUGAAUAGGUUCUCAUGCAUAGCACUGGCUGGUGUAGCAACAGAGUAUCUUUUAUAUGGGUACUCUGAAGGAGGGCUUGCCGACAUUGGUAAGGUAAAGCUGAAAUUAUUAAACAUUAAACACACCUUAAAUUGAUUCAUGCAUUUUGGAUAUUUACAUUUGUAUGCUAUUUUAUAGAUGUCCUCAAAAAAGCUUAUCUUAUACAGAAACACCCUGUUAAAUAACCGGUUGAGAAUUUUGUAAUCAACUGCUCUCGGCAUAUGAGAUACUCUCCCUUUAAGACAAGUGUGGUUAUUAUUACCAAACACUGCAGUUUUCAACAAUGUAUACACCAUCUAAGUGUUCUAGUAUAGAAAGUUCUUUUACAAAACUAAGAUCCUGUUACUUGCUCUGUUUUGAAAUGUGUGCACAGUUGGAUGGGUUGCUGAAGAGCUUAGGGUUUACACAAAAAAAAGCUGAUUCACAGGUUAGAUGGGCUGUGCUGAACACCAUUCUAUUACUGCGCCGACAUGAAAGAGCUAGAUUACAGCUAGCGGAGGCAAUGUCUUCAGGAAUGUCUGUUGGUUCUUGCAUUGGAGUAAUAGAAAUGAACAUUGACUCUGCCGAUGUUGAGAUGCAGGUUGGUGGAGAAUAGCCACGACCUAUCUCAACCAAAAAAAAAAAAAAAAAAAAACGAGAUAAUGGUGAGGAGCACACUUGCCCGUUACUUGUAUUGCAUUGGAAUGAUCUUUUUGAUUGUGCUGUAGUGUAGUACAAUCUACUUGCUGUGGGAAACCCUGCCAGAUUAGUUUCAUUUGAUGCUUGUUCAACUAUAACAAGCCCGAGUAAAAGGGAAGAUAUAUUGCGAAAGAAGGAUUGUCAACCCAGCGCUGGAAGUUCGCACACCUGUUUACGGAGAGCAUCUUACUACCAGCAUAUGCUACUACAAGCAUAAAGGCUUUUAGAUUAGAAUUCUGCGGAAAUAAUUCUUUUCUAAACUGUUGCUGGUUUAUACUACACGAAUUGUUCUGACCUCGAGUCUUCUUUCUUGAUAUUGUCCCAGAUUUUACUGCGAUUAUUACGAUGCUUCUAUCAUGCACGCUGGUACGCACUUCAUUAUAAUUUUCUAUUGUUUCUUUGUUUCUUCCUUUUUGGGUAGUUGUGUCUUUCUUGCUCCAAGAUAAAUAUUUUGAUGGGUUUAGUUCAAACCUCCGGUGGUGUCGGGCGUUAUAUUAUUACGAAUAUGAUUGUCUUUACAGUUAUUUUUUUAUUAUAAAGUAUUUAGAGUGAUGGCUUACAGACAAAAUCAUUAAAAUUAGAUUUCAUAUAUAUAUAUUUUUUGACAUUAUAUAUCUUGUCUUGUCAUAAAAACACAUCUAAAAAUGACAAUUUUAAUGAUUGUUAUAGGGUGUUUUUUUAAUUUGCUAUUUAGACUAAAAAUUAAUAACUUUGAUCUUGAAUUGGAAAUUUUGAUCUCUUAUUUUAAAAUGGCCAUUUUAUUUUUAUUGCUUAUUUUAUGGGUUUUAUUGUGAUUUUAAAAAAUUUUCAAAUUCGGAUUGUAGAUGUUUUUAAUAUUAAAUAUUGGCCAAUUUGAAUAAAAAAUUUAUUACUUUUGAGUUUUUGCAAAAAGAGGCCGUUUUUUUGAAUUUUGUAGUUUUUUUGAAUUUUGUAGAUUCAAACCGAAUUUUUAGAAAGAUGAUAAAGCUAUCCUUUUUUCGAAAUGCAUAAAAAUUAUAUGCCAUUAAGUGUAAAAUUUUUUGAAAAUGACAAUUGUUAAACCAUAAUUAUAUGUAUUUUUUUCGUGAGAUGAGAAUUUUCAUUUAAGAUAAAAUAAAAAAAAUAAAAUAUAAUUAAUAAGAUGAAAAAGUAUAAUAUUUUCUCAAAUAGUACAAUAUGUUUUUCCAAAUAGUUUAAUAUAAAUAGUGCAAUAUAUAUAUUGUUAAUACACAUUUUGUAUGAUUUUUAUACUAAAUUACGUACAGUUUAGUAUAUUACAUAAAAAUAAUAUAAUGGAUUAUAAUAUAUUAUAAAAAUUAUAUAAUAUAUAAACAAAUGGUGCAUAUUUUAUAUUGUUUGUGUAUAUAUUUACAUCAUUUGUGUAAAUGUUGUACUAUUAUGAAAGAAUGUUGCAUCAUUUAGAUGUGUGUUGCACUCUUUUUUUAAAAAAAUUAAAUUUUAUUGUAUAUUAAAUAAAAUUUUUUGGAAAUAAAAAUUGCUAAGUUAUAAUUAUAUGUAACUUUUUAAUGAAACGAGAAACCUCAUUGAAGAUAAAAUAAAAAAAUAAAAAAUAAGUAAUAAAAUAAAAAGUGUAACAUUUUCUCAAAUAGUGCAAUAUUUAUAUAAGUAGUGUAAUAUAUGUAUUAUUAAUACACAUUUUGUAUGAUUUUUAUAUUAAAUUACAUACAGUUUAGUAUAUUAUGCAUUGUUAAUAUAUAUUUUGUUUUAUUAUUUUCACGUAAUAUACUAAAUUGUACGUAAUUUAGUAUAAAAAUCAUACAAAAUGUGUGCUAACAAAACAUAUGUUGCACUACUUAUAUAGAUAUUGUACUAUUUGAGAGGAUGUUACACUCUUUCAGUUUACUAAUUAUUUUUUAUUCUUUUUAUUGUAUUUUGAAUGAGGAUUCUCGUUUCACGAGAAAGUUACCUGUAAUUAUGGUUUAACCGUUGUUAUUUUUAAGAAAUUUUAUUUAAUAUAUAAUAAAAUUUAAUUUUUUUUUAAAAAAGUGCAACACAUAUCAAAAUAGUGCAACAUUCUCUUAUAAUAGUGCAAUAUUUACACAAAUAGUAUAAAUAUUUGUAUAAAUAAUAUAAAAUAUGUAUCGUUUGUACAUAUAUUAUAUAAUUUUCUUAUAUAUUGUAAUAUAUAUUAUAUUAUUUUUAUGUAAUAUACUAAACUGUAUGUAAUUUAGUGUAAAAAUUAUGCAAAAUGUGUUUUAAUAAUACAGAUAUUGCACUAUUUAAGAGGAUAUUGCAUUUUUCAUCUUAUUAAUUAUUUUUUAUUCUUUUUAGUUUGUCUUGAAUGAGUUUUCUCUGUUUUACGAGGAAGAUAUAUGUAAUUAUAACUUAGUAAUUGUUAUUUUUCAAAAAAUUUGACAUAUUAUUUAAUAUACAAUAAAAUUUAAUUUUCAAAAACAGAGAGUGCAACACACAUCUAAAUAGUGCAACAUCCUUUUAUAAUAGUGAAACGUUUACACAAAUAAUGUAAAUAUCCGUACAAAGUAUAAUAUAUAUACCGUUUGUAUAUAUAUUAUAUAAUUUUUAUAAUAUGUUGUAAUAUAUUAUAUUAUUUUUACCUAAUAUACUAAAUUACAUAUAAUUUAGUGUAAGAAAUCAUGCAAAAUGUGUAUUAACAAUACAUAUGUUACACUAUUUAUAUAGAUUUGUACUAUUUGGAAGAACAUGUUGUACUAUUUAAAAAAAUGUUGCACUCUUUCAUUUUAUUAAUUAUUAAUUAUGUUUUUAUUUUGUUUUGAAUGAGAUUUCUCGUUUCACAAAAAAUAAACAUGUAAUUAUAAUUUAGUAAUUUUUAUUUUUAAGAAAUUUGAUACUUUAUUUAAUACGCAAUGAAAUUUAAUUUUUUUUAAAAAAAGAGUGCCAACACAUAUUUAAAUAGUGCAACAUCUUUUUAUAAUAGUGUAAUGUUUAUAUAAAUAAUUUAAAUAUCUAGACAAAUAGUGUAAAAUAUAUAUCGUUUGUACAUAUAUUAUAUAACUUUUAUAAUAUGUUGUAAUAUUUUAUAUUAUUUUCGCAUAAUAUAUUAAACUAUACGUAAUUUAGUGCAAAAAUUAUACAAAAUGUGCAUUAACAAUGCAUAUGUUGCACUACUUAUACAAAUAUUGUACUAUUUGGAAGAACGUGUUGCACUAUUUGAGAGAAUAUUGUACUCUUUUAUUUUAUUAUAUUUUAUUCUUUUUAUCUUGUUUGGUGUGAAGCUUCUUGUUUUAUGAAAAAUGUACAUAUAAUUAUGACUUAGGUUGUCAUUUCUAAAAAAUUUUACACUUGAUAGUUUAGCAGUUGUAUUUUUUUAGACAUUUAAAAAAUAUAAUUUUUAUGCAUUUUGAAAGAGGGGUAGUUUGGUUAUCCUUUUAAAAAUUUAGUCCGAAUCUGCAAAAUCUAAAAAGAUAGUCUACUUUUGCAAAAGCUCAAAAUAAUAAAUUUUUUAUGCAAAUUGGCCUUAAAUAUUUUAGAAGUUUCUCCUUUUUCUUUCUUGUAGCAACAGGAUCCAAUAAUCAUGUAUGUUCUAAUUAACUUUUUCCCUUUCUUUUUCCAGCAACUAUAUAUAUGUUAAUCGUCAUUAUCUAUCUUGUAUGCUUACAUUAUCCUAUUUGUUAUACCUACUAGUAAUGUUAAAAAGUGAAAAAAAAUUAUUUACAUCUAAUCUAAUCUUGUAAAUUCCUUUUUUUAAUUAACAAUAAAUAAUUACAAUGUAAGUUAAGUUUUUAUGUAUUAUUAAAUCAUUUGUANGCUUGGUACUAUUGAUAGUAUAAUAGCAUAAUUCUAUAUAGAGUCCGGCUACUAUACUAUUGCGCUGAAUAUGAGCGAGAUGACUCGAGCUUAUAUUUUACUGUUUACAAACGAGCGAUUGGAUUUCGAACUUAUUUUGUGUUGAUUUGAUUUCGAACUCAUUUUGUGUUGAAUAUAAGGUGGCUCGCAAACAUACGCAGCUAAAAAGUUUAGUGUUUCAACUGCUGCUUAAAUUGAUAGCAGCACUUUUUAAAGGUAAGAAUUAUCAUGCAUGUCUUAACAAAUAUCUGGAGUCAUUAAAAUUUUUUUAUACUCUAUGGUGUAUACUCUAUUUUUCUUCUCAGUAACUAUGUGAAAACUUUUAGUUAAUAUUGUAUUUACUCUUUUAGUUAAUAUUUUAUUUACUUGUUAUCAAAUUUUGUAAAUCUACAUUUUUCAAACUAAUAAUAAAUAGCCACCGUCAAAUUUUAAGGCCAAUUUACAUUAAAAAAUUGACAAAUUUUGAGCUUUUAUAAAAGUUGGUUGUCUUUUUCUAUUUUGCAAAUUCGAUUCAAAAUUUUAGCAAAUUGAUUAAAAUAUCCUUAUCAUUUUUUCCCUCUUCUCUUUUUUUUCUUCUCUUUUUUUUCGCUCGUUCAUUUUUUUUCUCUCGCCGAAAAAAGCGCAAAGGAGGCAGAGGCGCCUCGCCUCUUACCCUCGUGCCCUCGCUCUCGCACCCUUCACCCUUCUCCCCUUCGACCUCGUUAAGGCCGUGCCACGACUCUUUUUUUUUAUGACACCUCUCUUGAUCUCUCGCAUUUCCCUGCCUUUCUCGUCCUCUCUCUCCCUCCUCUGCCGCCCUCGACGACGAUACAUCUUCGCCGACGUCGAUGCCACGGAGGUCGCUGCAGCGACGCAGCCUCGAAGCCGGGGGGCUUUAGCGACGGCGCCAUGGCCGUUGGCAGAGAUGGGUGAUCAAAAAAAAAUUAUAGAAGAAGAAAGAAUAAAAAAAUAAAAAUAAAAAAAUUAUAAAAAAAGAAAGAUGAAGAUAAAAUUACACCGUUAUAAUAAAAUUGUACCGUUUUAAAAAAAUAUUGCACUAUUAUGGACCCACUAUUUAAGAUAUAAACUGUAUCCUUUAAAACAAAAAUUACACUCGUUAAACGAAAAUUGCACUAUUUGAGAUAUAUUUAUACUGUUUCUUCUCUUAGGGGCUGUUUGGUUGGAUGUAGUUGCAGAAACAGUGUAGUUGGAAAUACAUGCAGUUGCAAAUGCUGCAGUUGUAAUUACACCUAGUCUGUUUGGUUUUACGCAGUUGCAACUGCCGCAGUUACAUUUCUUCUGUUUGGUAAUAUGAAGCUGAUAGUUGUAUUUGUGAAUUUUGUCACAUUUUCAGAUAGAAUGGUGAGAUUACUUUCACUAAACAUAAAAUAAUUGUAUAAAUUUAUUAAUCAUUUAAAUUUACUAUUUAUAAAUAAAUAAGUAGAUAUAUAUAAUAUUCUUCAACUUAUUAAUCGACACAUUUAAAAUUUUUAAUUUAUUUAAUUUUAAUAUGUAAAUCAAACUUUAAAAUUUAAACGAUUCUCUCAUUUUUUUUAUCAAAUUUAAUAAUUAUAAUUAAUUAAAACUUAUUAAAUUAACAUACACGAUCACAUUCUAUAAAAUUUUUUUAAAAAAAUAUAUUCUAUAUUCUUAAAUAAAAUAAAUUUAAAAUUUAAUUUUUGCCAAAGCUUGUAUUGUCAUAAAAAUUUUAACAUUAUUAUGCUAGUUUAUUUACAAAUAUUUUUUAUUUACUAUAUAGCAUAUAUUUAUUAUUUAUAGGCUAUUUAUAUUAUUUAAUUAUUGUUUAAUCUUCUUAAAGUGAUCCUAUUCCCUCACUAAACAUUAACGUUGCAGUUGAUACUACCAUACCAACUUUGAUGUAUUCCAACGCAGCUAUUUAAACCUUCUUGUCGAAUUGAAACCAUAGUUAGUUAAUUCGGAUCGGCAAAAAUUCGUACGGAUAUAAUUCGGAAUAUAAAUUCCGUACCCUAUUUUUAAAAUCGUGAAAAAAUCGCUUAAAACGGAUUCGCCAAAUAUAUCGGAAUACUGAUUUAUACGGAUAUUAUACGUUACCCAAUUAAAGAAUUGGGAUCAAAAAAUUCCGUGAUCUAUUAAAUUAAUUUUUUUCCAUCAAAUUAUCAAUUGCAUAAAUAUCUUCAAUUUUUAAGAAUAAUAAAGAAUAAAAAGCACAAAAUAAUAAAAAAUAAUAAUAAACAGAGAAUGAACACAUUCAUUAAAUGAUAGUAUAAUAAAGGAGAUUCUGGUACCACUAAGUUAAUCUAAGAAUUAUUUAUUCUCUAUGUUUGGUUGCUUUGUGCAUAACAAACAUAAUGGACACAUUCAAUUUAAGUCAGCCAGGAGCCAUUUGUGUAUAAAAAACGUAUUCAUCAAAUGGACUAAAAAGCUUCCAACUUUGGCUUUGUAAAAAAAACACCCGAUUACUGAUCUAUCUUGUUGAUAGCUGAAGCGGAAGCGGAAGAGGCGACGAGUAGGUUUCGACUUGUUGAAUAGUGAAGUAACCCGAUCUUCGAUCUUCAACUUUCUGAAGACGAGCUUCCAUGCCGUUGCGGCGAGCUGCCGGGAAGGGUAAAGAGGGGAGGGAAGGACCGCCGGACAGCCAUAGGGUCGCCGUGGCAGGGGCUUCGACGGUUUUUGUGAAAAGUUGAGCGCCGCAAACCGCCGCAGGGUUGAGAAAGUUAGGCAAACCCUUUUUUUUAAUAAGAGUGUGGUGGCCGUGAGAAUGGUGUGUGGACUCGUUGCGUGAAGGAGGCGUUCGAGAAAGGUUUUUUUUUUUUUUUUUUUAUUUUUUUUUUGGCACGACAUGCCGAUUCAGAAAAUGCACUUGUUUUUUUUUUCCCGUUUGGGCCACCGCGAGCCCCGACGUGGCUCGCAGCAACGGGCCGACAUUUUUGGCCUAAUUAUUCGCCGAAUACCCGUUAAUUCGGCAAUAAAUUCUUUUUGCCCAAAAACAACGCGAAUUAUUCCGAAUUUUGGAAAAAUGCUAACGGCAAUUUACAACCAGCGCAAUAAGAUUGAUAUGCGUAAAAUUUCGAAUUUCAAACCAAUGGCGCAGAAAUAAUUCGCCACAAAUUUAACUAACAUCGAUUGAAACUGUCAACUAAUAAUACCCUCACUACACCUAAAGCUCAAUACAAGGAAAUUAUUGUAUGGCUGAAGUCAUGCAUUGUGAGCUAAAGACUGCAAAAGAAAAACUAGCAGUUUAGUCCAGAUCGUCAAAAUUGUGCAUACCAAACAGCACCUUAUUUGUAUUUUUGAGAUGUAAAGUCCAGCAUCCAUUAAAAUAAAGUAUAAUCUUUAAACGAAAAAUUAAAUUAUUUGAAAGAUAUUGAUACUAAUUUUUAAAUUACACUCUUAAGGAUAUAAAACCGUACAGCGCGAUCCUUAAAAAAAGAAAAAAUAUACCUUUUUUAAACGAAGACAUUGUUUUAAAAGAAUUAUUUAUAUGUGCUUCCUUCUCUUGUUGCACUAUUUGAAAUAUAAAUUACCACACCUUUAAAAAAAUAUUUAAUCUAUUUGAAGAGGAUAAUGUGUAACACCUAAGUUCUCAUUCGAUCGUUUGGCUUGGCAUCUGAAUUUUUUGCGAUUUGGUCUUUGUGAACAUUUUGACACGUGCUGUGAUUGAACCAAUAAAAUAAUCAUGAGCACCAAGUAUUUAACUAGUUUUUUAGGUUUUCGACUUAAAAAUGGUAUAAUUAGAUGAAAAUGAUGCAAAAGGUGUAAAUCAACGAUGGUAAGAACAAACUCUAUAACAUCGAGCCUUGUGAGCUGAUCUGUGCCAAAUGAUCAAAUCCCAGUAAAUGGUGCUAUCCUACUGCCCACUCGAUUAGCAACGGGAGUCGAUAGCCACCAAGGGGCUCCGGUGCUAUCGAUUUUAAAGCUUCGCGUUAGAUUUAAAUGCCGGUGUUAGUAUUAUUUUUAACCUGUGAGAGGAUCCAUAAACUUAACAUAUCAACCAAUUAGGCCAUUUACCACCUCUUUAAAAUUGGUUGAAGAAAAAGUUGACGCUCACACUAAUUCCAGGGGCCGUUGCUAAGUUAUAGUGUCAGUGCGCCAGGCUGACGUGGUCUAUGUCGAUUAGUCGGUUUUGGUUUUGGUACUUGACUAAUGAUACGGCCCCACAUCAUCCACGCUGCAUAUUUUCUCAUCCAAAGCUAAAAGACCAACUAGCAGCACGAUAGCUUUUGUGCAAACUGAAUAGUAUUCUGCACACCUAAUUCUAUAUACAAUAUAUAUAAUAUAUAUAUAUAUAUAUAUACGAGAGAGAAGAGAAGAGAGAGACGAAGAGAGAGAGAAUCCGGUUAUAAUACUAUCGAUAGCACUAAGGAUUUUGUGCUAUUGAGUUUUCUACCAUUAAAUUUAACCUUUGAUUAUUUUUACCCGUUAGAUUAUACUAUUCAACCAACCACCCACUCAACCUUAGGACGUCCAUAUCAUCCUAACCGCAUAUUUCUCAAUUCAAGAACUAAAAAACUAAUAGCAUCAAUAGCUUGGUAUAUACACACACAUGCCUAAAAAAAAAUACGUAUCCAUGUUAUGGCACUCUGCACAAGAGCUUUUUGAAUGUUAAAAAAGAGCUUUGUCAAGUCAUGGCACAUUUUAAAAAUUUUAAUUUAAUAAUAUCAUUCCCAAACUCAUUCUAUAAUGAAGUCUCAUGUAGCUAGUGCUAAAGAUAUACACGAAAUAGUUAAAGAUAUAUUAGACAAAAAUAAAAGAUAAAUUUACCUCCCAAAUCACCUUUUAAAUAGAAUUUUCUUACAAAAACAUUGAAAAUAAUCUCACCAAUAUUUUUGAAAGAUAUGUUUCAAUUCCAUACAACCAAACAAAUUAUUUCUAGUUAUAAGGCUUUUCACUAUAUUCAGAAAACACGUAAAUAUAACUCUUGCAUUUUUCCAACAAAAUAGCCCUUAACUACAUCAAUAUGAGAGAGGUAUAUAUAUAUGCAAAGAAUUCAAAAAUUUCUAGUUUCAUGGCCCACAUUUUUUUCAAUGCUGGGCUACUAAUUUCUGGACCCUGGCCCAGCAAGGCCCUGCCCGAGCAACUCGGAGCUGAACAGUUCCAUGGGCCAACUUAAUGUUUUUAAAUAUUAUGAUUCUUCGAAAUUUUUUAAAUGCUUCAUGACUCCCGUGUCUUUAAAUACUAAUUUUAUAAAACGAUAAACUUCAAAAACUAAGCAUAUGGUUCCGCACUUUCUCACUUAGUAUUUUAUGGUUUAAAGUAUAUUAAGUUAAUAUUCUAUAAUUUCAUUUUCAUCUUUUCGUUAGCUUUUUCGUUAAUAUUUCGUUAAAUUAUAUACAAAAAACUUCAGAUAAUUCAUCUAAAUUUAUCGAAUAUUUAUUUUAGUACCCUUUAAUUUUAACUUUGUCACUUAUUUAACGAAAAGAAUUAAUAAAAUUAACAAUAAGAAAAUACAAAUAAAAUUUCAGAACAUUAAAUUAAUAUACUUUAAACCAUAGGGUACAAAAAUGAAAAAGUAUGAAACUACUGGAGCGGUAUUUAAACUUUUUCCUUUAUAAAAUGUAUAAAAUUUUUCAUUCCAUAAAUAAAAUUUUGAGAAGUGAAAACUUCAAAAGAAAGUUAUUCUACUCGGAAUAACUCAAAAUAUAUUUGAAAGAAGGAAAAAAAUCGAAACCUGUGCAUAGAGGGAGAGCAUUGUGAGAGUUUAGUUAUUAGUUCGUAAGGAUAGGCUUUUAGAAACAUGUAAGCUUUAAUUUCUUUCGAUGGAAAGAUAAAAGAGAUAAAAUAAAAAAAAAAAGAGAAAAAAAAAAUACUCCUAUGAUCUCUUCAUUUUUUUUAUUUUAAUCCAAAGAAAAUUUAGAUAUUUUCUCUCUGAGCUUUUGUUUUUUUCCCCUUUUUUCUCUUCAUCCAAAGGAGUGCUAAAGCAUGUCAAAAUAUUAUACUACGCUAGUUCUACAAUUUCACCACCACAAGAGAGAGAGAGAGAGAGAGAGAGAGAGAGAGAGAGAGAGAGAGUUACCAGGCAAGGAAGAGAGGAAGAAACCCUAGAAUUCCUGCAGGGCCAGAUCCCACCUCGCCCCUUCCCUAGCCGCCGCCAUGGCCGAGGAGGUGCUUCUUGGCGAGGAGGACAUGGUGGAUAUUGGGGAAGAGGACGUGGUGGAUGUUGGGGGAGGAGGAGGACGCCGCUGGAGAAGGCGAUGGCACCGCACCUGAGAUCAUCACCAAAACCCUAAUUAAUAAAUUGGAAACCCUAAUUAAAGCUAGAAGCCGUAAAAAUGAAAUCCCAUAGAAGGCCUAGAAACCUUAAUUCUCGCAGGAGAGAGAGGUUCUCUGGAAAUCGCGGAAACCCUAAUGGAAACCCUUGAAAACACUAGGAUAGGGGAGAGGGGCGGAGAGAGAGAGGGGGGUAGGGAAGGAUACCGACCUCGGCGGGAAGGACCUCUAGAAACCCAAGGAACCCUUAAUGAAACACUAAUUCUUGGAACGCUAUAAACCUUAGAAACCCCAAAUUUUUGGUACCCUAAAAAUAUUAGAAACCCUAACUCUCGGAGGAAGAAGGGGGAGGAGCGAGCCCUAACCUCGGCGGCGAGGUACGCGAGGAGCUGAGGCAAUCUGCGUCGCCUCCCGAGCUCAGCGUGCGAACGAAGCUCGAGGAAGAAGACGAAGGAGCGCUGAGAGUUUGGGGGAGAAAGGGAGAGGAGCUUUUAGAGAGAGAGAGA
rnacentral:lncRNA from 1 species